rnacentral:rRNA from 1 species
GACGAAGGGGGCUAGCGUUGUUCGGAAUUACUGGGCGUAAAGCGAGUGUAGGUGGUUGUCGUAGUCAGGCGUGAAAGCCUUGAGCUCAACUCAAGAAAUGCGCUUGAUACUGGGCAGUUAGAGGACCGGAGAGGAUAGUGGAAUUCCCAGUGUAGUGGUGAAAUACGUAGAGAUUGGGAAGAACACCAGUGGCGAAGGCGGCUAUCUGGACGGUUUCUGACACUAAGACUCGAAAGCGUGGGGAGCAAACAGG